rnacentral:rRNA from 1 species
GCAAGUCGAGGGGUAACAUUGUAGCUUGCUACAGAUGACGACCGGCGCACGGGUGCGUAACGCGUAUAGAACUUACCCUUUACAGAGGGAUAGCCUUUAGAAAUGAAGAUUAAUACCUCAUAGUAUUGCAACCAGGCAUCUGGUUAUAAUUAAAGAUUUAUCGGUGAAAGAUGGCUAUGCGUCCUAUUAGCUAGAUGGUAAGGUAACGGCUUACCAAGGCGAUGAUAGGUAGGGGGCCUGAGAGGAGGAUC